rnacentral:rRNA from 1 species
AGUGAACGCUGGCGGCAUGCCUAACACAUGCAAGUCGAACGGCAGCACAGCAGUAGCAAUACUGUGGGUGGCGAGUGGCGGACGGGUGAGGAAUACAUCGGAAUCUGCCCGGUUGUGGGGGAUAACGUAGGGAAACUUACGCUAAUACCGCAUACGAUCGAGAGAUGAAAGCGGGGGACCGAAAGGCCUCGCGCAGUCGGAUGAGCCGAUGUCGGAUUAGCUAGUUGGCGGGGUAAUGGCCCACCAAGGCGACGAUCCGUAGCUGGUCUGAGAGGAUGAUCAGCCACACUGGGACUGAGACACGGCCCAGACUCCUACGGGAGGCAGCAGUGGGGAAUAUUGGACAAUGGGGGCAACCCUGAUCCAGCAAUGCCGCGUGUGUGAAGAAGGCCUUCGGGUUGUAAAGCACUUUUAUCUGGAACGAAACACGCAGGGUGAAUAUCCUUGCGGACUGACGGUACCAGAGGAAUAAGCACCGGCUAACUUCGUGCCAGCAGCCGCGGUAAUACGAAGGAUGCAAGCGUUACUCGGAAUUACUGGGCGUAAAGCGUGCGUAGGUGGUUUCUUAAGUCUGCUGUGAAAGCCCCGGGCUCAACCUGGGAAUUGCAGUGGAUACUGGGGAGCUAGAGUGCGGUAGAGGGUAGUGGAAUUCCCGGUGUAGCGGUGAAAUGCGUAGAGAUCGGGAGGAACACCAGUGGCGAAGGCGGCUACCUGGACCAGCACUGACACUGAGGCACGAAAGCGUGGGGAGCAACAGGAUUNNAUACCCUGGUAGUCCACGCCCUAAACGAUGCGAACUGGACG